UCCGUGUCUGCCACUCCCCUGGACACACUGUUUUACCUGCACAUUCUCUCCCUAGGUGCACGACAGAGUGAUCCUGGUAAAGGAGGAGCUGCACCUCGUUAUUGACGUGCUGGAGAACAUUGGGGAUCCCAGUCUGUCCGAGCUGCUCGGGAGGCCAUUACAAAUCCUGAGGCACAUCAGAGAGGACUUGAAGAGCUGCACCAGACAUCAGCCUGACAACCAUCAACGCUCCGGGGCGCUGACUAGCUGGCUCCAAAAAUUCCACGCAGCCAAGAAGAUGGAAACUCCAGGGUGCCUGGAAGCAUCUGUGGUUCUCUAUCUCUUCCGACUGCUGAACGAAGACUUGAAGUGUGCAGCCUACAUGGAGUCCUGCACCUAAACGCCAGGUCUUUACUCUGUCUCACCUCAUGCAUCUAAUCAGACA